UCUAUCUUUGAUCUCACACAAGUCUCUUUCCGUUUUCCGCCUCCCGAGAUUAAGCCCUUACCGUUAUUCCAAGCUUCAGUAUGAACACCGAAGCAGUGGUCGAGUUUUUGGGCAACGUUCCGUUGCUCCAGAGAUUACCGAGUUCUUCGUUCAAGAGAAUAGCUGAACUCGUGAAUUUUAAGCACUUUGAGAAAGGAGAUUAUGUCGUUCGGGAAGGAGAAGUUGGAGACGGAAUAUAUUUCGUGUGGGAAGGAGGGGCUGAAGUAUCUGUAUCAGUCCAUGUUGAAGAAGAAAAUCGACUCGAGUUUCAGUUCCAACAAUACGAUUACUUUGGCCAUGGUUAGCUUUUUGAUCGUUCCUUCAUGUGAUGUUUUUACAAUUUUUGAGUAUCGGACUGUUUCAGUAUGUAGAGUUUUUGUCUGUGCAAUGUGCAUUCAUUUAAUCCCACAUUGGUUCUCAUGGCAGAUGUAAUCGCUUUAACUAAAAUGACCUGCCUGUUUCUACCUCAUGAACAUUGCACUUUGCUUCAGUCAAAAUCUAUCUG